GACGAACGCUGGCGGCGUGCCUAAUACAUGCAAGUCGAACGCAGUGGGGACGGGUGAGUAACACGUGGGUAACCUCCCAUCAGAGGGGAUAACACUUGGAAACAGGUGCUAAACCGCUACUGAUUGAUGUACCCGCGGUGCAUUAGCUAGUUGGUGAGGUAACGGCUCACCAAGGCCACGAUGCAUAGCCGGUCUGAGAGGGUGAUCGGCCACACGGGGACUGAGACACGGCCCAGACUCCUACGGGAGGCAGCAGUAGGGAAUCUUCGGCAAUGGAAGAAAGUCUGACCGAGCAACGCCGCGUGAGUGAAGAAGGUUUUCGGAUAGUAAAACUCUGUUAUGAGAGAAGCGGUAUCAAACCAAAAAGCCACGGCUAACUACGUGCCAGCAGCCGCGGUAAUAC
rnacentral:rRNA from 1 species